rnacentral:rRNA from 1 species
CACGUAGGGGGCAAGCGUUGUCCGGAUUUAUUGGGCGUAAAGAGCUCGUAGGUGGUUCGGUAAGUCGGGUGUGAAAACUCUGGGCUCAACUCAGAGACGCCACCCGAUACUGCUGUGACUUGAGUCUGGUAGGGGAGUGUGGAAUUCCCAGUGUAGCGGUGAAAUGCGCAGAUAUUGGGAGGAACACCAGUGGCGAAGGCGGCUUCCUGGCCUGUUCUUGACGCUGAGGCGCGAAAGCUAGGGGAGCAAACGGG